rnacentral:lncRNA from 1 species
GAGGUGUAGGGUAUUUUUGGAAUAAAAGAAAAUAUGAGGAGGUGUACAAUAUUUUUGAAAUAAAUUAAAAUAGUGGGGAGGUACAGGUCCCACUUGGGGAGGUGUAGGGAGCAACACCCCUGAAAAUUUUAUAAGGCUAUUGGGCCCUAAUUUGACAAGCGAGGCCCAUUGACCCAAGGACACUUGAACCUUGGGAGGGGUCCUUUUCUUGCAAGUCAAAUUUCAUUUCACAGAUUCCUCUCUCUCUCUAGAAUUGAAACCUUGACCAAACUCAAAUGCUCUGCCUUCUCUCUAAAAUUCUAGCAGAUUGAACCGUUGAAUCUCUGUUUUGUUGCAGCAAAAUCAUUCCUAGUGCGGAGAGCUUCAAUUCCCACCGAACAAUUUCUUCAUUUCAUCGGGUAAGUAAAUUUUCCCUUUUCUCUUCACUAUCUUGACCUAGGGCACCCAAUUUUUCUAGUUGCAUGUGCUUUUCUUACUUUGUUUUCCCUUCUGCAUACGUUCUAACUGUAAAAGGCUGUCUCUAUCACCAAUUUGGUGAUUAUUUUUUUGGAAUUUAUUUUAUAAAAUAUUUGCAUGAUGAAUUUGAACUGAUGUGUUUGUGAAACUGUCCUGCAAUUUUUAAUUUUACUGGAUGCCCAAAUUGAGACUGUGAAGCUGUGUAUAAUUAUUGUGUGUUUAAAUAUUCAAAUAGUUCAUGUGAAUUGGAUGUAUACGAAUUGUCUCUGUUGAAAUUAAUCUAUUUUGGUUGAAAUUGAUCUUGUUAGAGGGUUUGGAGUAAGGGCUCAGUGAUAACAUGUAUAUAGGUAUUAAAUAAGUGUACAAGUACUGUUUCAGAGUAUUGUGAGAGGGGGUAAAACAUAAAAAUUGAGCUAUUGAGGUUUAGAGCACAACAAACUAGUUUAGUUAACUUUAAUAAAUUAAUUAAAACUCGUUGAGAGCCUUGGGUAGUGAAGUGAGAUUGGGAGCAAACAUUCCGUGAUAAUGAAUAAUUUAGCAAGCAAUUUCAUAAUUAAAAGAGUAUUAUAAGUUAUUUUUGAGGUAAUACGUAUCAUGAUAUAUAUAUAUAUAUAUAUAUAUAUAUAUAUAUAUAUAUAUAUAUACACAAAAUAUAUUAUAUAUACUGACACAUAAUUAUAUAUAUAUAUAUAUAUAUAUAUAUAUAUAUAUAUAUAUAUACACGUAACAUAUUAUAUAUACUGUAACAUAAUAUUAUAUAGGUAUUUAUAAAAUAUAAUUACGUAACACAUAUAAAUUAUACUAAUAUUAUAUAACAUUUUGUAUGUUAUUAUAUUUUAUUAAUAUAAUAUAGUUUUAUAUAUAAUAAUAGGUUUGUUUAUAAUAUUAUAAUAUGAAUGUUGGUUUAAUAUAAAUUAAAAAUGUUUGUGCAAUGGUCUACUAGAAAAUUUAUAAUAGAAGUAUGGUUGAAUAUAACUAUUAUAAUAUAGUUGAAGGGAACAUGGUUUUAUAUCUAUACAAGGUUUAGGCAUUGGAAAUAAAUUGUAAAAGAUUAUGGUAUUGAUUAACUUAGAUUAAAUUAGGGAAUAGUUAUUUUUAUAAUUUGUGAUUGGUGAGUAAGGUAUUGUUGAGAUUAUAUAUAUGUUUAUUUUGGCAAAAAGUAUAUGAUUACAAAGUAAUGAAAGUACGAUCCAAGUGGCAAACUAAGUUUCAUGUGUGUAGAAUCUUUCGGUGAGAUUCUUAGUGUUUUGGAAUGAAAAUAGGAGCUCAGUCUUGGGGGUUUUCGUGACGCUCCAAUGGCCUCUCUUCUCACAUAGAGAGGAUUGGAUCAUGUGGUGAGGAGUAGCAGGAGGUCUUAGUCUCGGAGGCUUCCAGUAUGCUCCAAGGCGCGGAACAGACUAACCUCGUGAGUGUGGUAGGGUGGGAAACCCAAGUUUCAUAAGCCACGACGGGUGCAUGACCCGCCAUAGCUCGACUCUCAUUCUAAAGUCCGGACGAGUCAAGUCUAGAAUAUAACAUGCUAGGCUCUAUGUUAUAAAUUGUCUUGUAUGUAUUUUACUUGAGUUAAAUCUGAUAUGUAUAUGUUGCUAUAAUUGUAUGCUUUUUAUAUAAUCAGCUCACCCUUGCAUUUGCUUGUUUGUGCCUUGUAUGCUUUUUCUUUUGCAAUGAUCAUCCACUUACUUGGAUGUGAGCAGAUGAGAAUGAGGUCUUCCUAGAGAAUGUCUUGGAAGGAAAUGAAGAUGUUGCUGCUUAGACAUUCUAGGAUUCAAUAGCACUAUCACGUUCUUGAAACAUUUCCAGCUUUAUGUAUUUUGAGAUACUCUAACACUUUAAGUUUCAAAUUUUUACUCACUUUGUGAAUGACUGUAAUCCUUAUACUUAAGUACAUCUCUCAUCUCUAACUGCUUUCUAGUAUUGUAUGUGAUGACCUCUAACUGCUUUCUAGUAUUGUAUGUGAUGACGUCUUAUUUUAUAUACAUGAGGUAUAUUAUUGGGAUGUC